rnacentral:rRNA from 1 species
GAUGAACGCUGGCGGCGUGCCUAAUACAUGCAAGUCGAGCGAACAGAUGAGGAGCUUGCUCCUCUGACGUUAGCGGCGGACGGGUGAGUAACACGUGGAUAACCUACCUAUAAGACUGGGAUAACUUCGGGAAACCGGAGCUAAUACCGGAUAAUAUAUUGAACCGCAUGGUUCAAUAGUGAAAGACGGUUUUGCUGUCACUUAUAGAUGGAUCCGCGCCGCAUUAGCUAGUUGGUAAGGUAACGGCUUACCAAGGCAACGAUGCGUAGCCGACCUGAGAGGGGGAUCGCACACAAGGGAACGGAGACACGGUCAAGACUCCCAGGGGGGGGAAAGGGGGGAAAUUUGCCGAAAGGGGGGAAAGCCUGCGGGAGAAACGCCGCGUGAGUGAAGAAGGUUUUCGAAUGGAAAAACUCUGUUUUUAGGGAAGAAAAAAUGUGAAAGUAACUUUGCACGUCUGGACGGUACCAAAUAAAAAAGCCCCGGUAAACUACGG